UUAAUAUGAUCGAAAAAGUAUACGAAACCUUCGCAGUCGAGUAAAAAACGGGAAAAACAUUAUUGGAACGCAUCUGUCAGGUGAAUCAGCUGUUCAGAGUUUGUUCAUGGACGAGAGACAAUGCUCCUCCGUCUCUUUUUCCAGAUUUUAUAAGCUCACACGUCGCUGGGAUCCGCAUUGCGCCGUCAGAGGAGGGAUUUGUAGUUCGCCGAGUGGAGGGAGUAAGUUGCGACAUCCCGUGAGCCAAAAUGGAUCCACAAGCGGGCAUGGACAUCGUCACACCCUUCCCGACGAUAUACCCACCGACCGAUGACUACAGCGACCUCAAAGUAAGCCCCGACAAAAGAAGUGUAACCAGUACGUGUUGCAGAACAAGACCCACUUUAUCUACGGGGGCUAUGAGGGCAUUCCCGAGAACUUGUUGAUUAACUUCUUGGGGUGGAUUUUGCUCAUGUGUCUGUUUACGGUGUUGAGAAAAAAGGCGUGGAAUUAUGGCCGUUUGGCGCUUGUUCAGAAGUACGAGAGUAGGACAAAGCAUCUUGGCUUCAGUCAGUACAAUGUGUGGACACAAAUCUUCUACGGGAAGGACAGCGACAUGGGCAAGAUUGCUGGGGAGAAUGACUCCGUGAGUUCCUUGGAGUUCAACACGCACAUUGACAAAGGGCUGUUCUCGUGGAUUCCGGCCCUGUUUAAGAUCAAAGAUGAGCAGAUCCUAGCCAAGAGUGGUAAGGACGCGGUGCAGUACCUGUCCUUCCAGUCGCACAUCAUUGUGUACAUGAUGAUCGUGUGUGUCAUCAGCAUUGUGAUCGUACUGCCCAUCAACUUCCAGGGGACGCUGGAGGGGGGUGAGAAGGAGUUCGGUCACACCACCCUCGCUAAUCUUGCGCCUCAGUCACGGUUGAUGUGGGUCCACGUGACGCUUGCUUUCCUCUUUCUCCCGCUUGGCAUCUUGUUCACCCGGCGAUUCUCCAAAAAGCUGGAGCUGAAGGAGGUGGCCACCACCGUCUCGCGCACUCUCAUGAUCACCCAUGUGCCAAGGAGGUCUUGCCACAAAGACACGCUCCUGAGACACUUCCAAGAAGCUUACCCAGAUAUAGAGGUCACAGAUGUUCAGUUCGCAUACAACAUUCGGUCACUCCAAGCCUUUGCAAAAGAAAAGGAAGUGGCUCAUAAUGCAAGGAUAUACUGUGAAUCUUACAUGAAGGAGACUCACAGACGGCUUGAUAUGAGACCUUACAAGGGGGGUGUUGUGUGCGGCUGCUGUGACAUCUUUGGCUGUCCGACGGUGGAUGCCAUUGAGUAUUACACGGAGGAGGAAAACCGUCUGGCCAACGAGGUGGAGAAUGAAAAGCUGAAGGCCCUGCAGAGGCCAACCGGCGUGGCGUUUGUCACCUUCGAUAGCAUAGAGAAUGCCAAGAGAGUCCUCCAAGACCACAGGGCAAAGUGUGACUGCUUCUACAGCCCUCCCACGUCCUCUGCCUCGGUUGACCUCAAGCCACACAACUGGAUCAUCAGGGUUGCUCCAGUGCCGGAUGAUAUUUAUUGGCACAACCUGUCCGUCACUACACGUCACUGGUGGCUGAAGGCUAUCCUGAUCAACAUCAUGUUAUUUUUGGUGUUGUUCUUCCUCACAACACCUGCUGUUAUCAUCAAUGGUCUGGAUAUUGUUCCCCUGACUGGGCGACUCAGUAACAUGAGCCCAGUGCUGUCAGAGUUCUUGCCCACCCUGCUCCUGUGGACCAUGGCUGCCCUCCUGCCAGUGAUCGUGUCGUACUCGGACCAGUUCAUGUCUCAUUGGACGCGCUCUGCCGAAAACCACUCCAUCAUGAGGAAGACCUUUGUGUUUCUUCUGUUCAUGGUCAUUAUCCUCCCUUCUCUAGGACUCACCAGUGCCAAGGGUUUCAUGGAAUGGCUCAUCCAGUCACAGUCUCAGAACGAGACCUUCCGCUGGGAAUGUAUCUUCCUCCCCGAUAAUGGUGCGUUCUUCGUCAAUUACAUCAUCACCUCGGCAUUCAUCGGAACAUCGCUCGAGUUGAUUCGAUUCCCGGAGUUAUUUAUGUACAUGGUUCGGCUUGGGCUGUCGAGAUCUGAAGCAGAGACAGCAAGCGUUAGAAAAGCUAUUCUCUACGAGUUCCCAUUUGGUGUGCAGUAUGCCUGGAUGCUGCUUAUUUUCGCCAUGACCAUCAUUUACUCUGUUUCUUGUCCUCUUAUCACACCCUUUGGUACUCUGUACAUGAUCUUCAAGCACCUGGUUGACAAGUAUAAUAUAUACUUUGCCUAUGGACCUUCAAGAAUUAAUAAGAACAUUCAUACCUCAGCCAUUAAUUUUGUGAUAGUCUCAAUUGUGUGUCUGCAGUUAAGCUUGCUCUUCUUCUCUCUUGUGAGGCAAGGGUUGAAAAAAGAUAUAACUAUAUACAGCAUUAUUCUGCUGAUUAUAACAUGCGUCGUAUUUAUCACACACAAUGCAUUCCAUUGGUUCAAGGAUCUUAGUCCAGUGGAAUACAAGAAAUUUGGAAAUGGAACUGCCAAUGGCGAUACUACAUCAGUCAAUGAUGAUGAAAGCACAACAGAAGUGGCAUGCCAGUUUGUGCCAGCUGUGUUACGAGAUGCUCCCAGUGGAGUGGAGAGCAGCUAUGACUAUAUAAACCAGCCACGGAGCUAUGGCACACGGCCCAGAGAUGAAAACGGGCUGACGAAUGAAGCAGGGGUUAGGAGUGAUGAAGACAGCCCGCGGGCUAGACAAUCUAGUCUCUAUCAAGAUUAUUCCCAAGCAAAGCACCUUGCUGCUCCAGUGUUGGUACAGUAAAUAUUACUGAGGACAGUUUCACGGAUAGUACAGCUAAGGGGCAAGGGCAAAGCACCUAGAUGACCUAGUAUAAAGAGUCUUCCUAAAAAUAGUUCUGAAGGUGACGACAAAAGU
rnacentral:misc_RNA from 1 species